CAGAAGUUUCUUGGGAGUCAGUUUCUGCUGUUUCUGAAGCAGCUUCAGUCCUUGAAUGGGAGAGAGGAUCUGGGAGAGGAGCUGCUUCCUCUCUUCUCUGCUUUCCUCUGCCAGGCUUAGCAGAAGGUUUGUUCUCCAGAUGCAGUUUAAGGCUUCAAGGACCCCACCGGGCGGCUCUUCCUGGGCACCUUCAGCAUCCUGCCAGGGGAGUCGUGGUCAUCACGAUGGAAGGGGCUUCUCUUCUGUGCUGUGGCCCACUUCAUCAAGUGAAAAAGAGGCACCAAAACAGGACCAUGUCUGAUUUGGGGGACAAGUGGUGUUUCCUUUGCUCUUUCUGGCGUAAGAAGGUCAAGCUGCGUAAAGAUAAAGCAGGAUCCGGCGAGGAAGCAGCGGACUUUGAAAGAAGAUGAAUGAAUUGAGCUGACUCUGCCAUGUAUUCAACAUCUUGUCGUCCAUCUUUAUAGGAAUCAUUUGAAAAAGAAAGUUCAUCUUAGAAGGACCAGGCUGGCCAUAUACUGCUUCCCUGCCCUGAGGAAAAUCCCAUUAUCCAUUUCAAAAUGAAAAAUGGCACCGUUAAAUAGUACUAGUUCAGAAAUAAGAAUGGUCCAUAUACUAACUUUGGUAUUUCAGGAGACAAUGAUAACAGGCUGGCAUUUGAGGAAGACCUCCCUCCCUCCCUCCCCCCCCCCCCCGCUUCUGCAGCCAGCCUCGGGACUGUCCCGCACCCCCCUUCUGCAGCCAGAACAGGGACAGUGCCGCACCCCUUCUGCAGCCGGACCCAAUUCAGUCCAGACCCUACUUCUGCAGCAGACCCCGGGACAGUCCCGUACCCCCCUUCUACAGCUGGCCCCGGGACCAUCCCACACCACCCUUCAGCAGUCAGAACAGGGAGAGUGCCGCACCCCUUCCUCAGCCGGACCCAGUCCAGUCCCAAACCCCCUUCUGCAGCUGACCCCAGGACUAUCCGGUACCCCCCUCCUGUAUCCGGAACCUGGAUCAUCCAACACCCCCCUCCUGUAGCCAGAACCUGGACCGCCCCGCACUCUCCUUCUGCAGCCGGCCCCGGGACUGUCCCGUACCCCCCUUCUGCAGCCGGCCCCGGGACUGUCCCGUACCCCCCUUCUGCAGCCGGCCCCGGGACUGUCCCGUACCCCCCUUCUGCAGCCGGCCCCGGGACUGUCCCGCACCCCCCUUCUGCAGCCGGCCCCGGGACUGUCCCGCACCCCCCUUCUGCAGCCGGCCCCGGGACUGUCCCGCACCCCCCUUC